AAGCCUACGGGGCGCAGCAGUGGGGAAUUUUGGACAAUGGGCGCAAGCCUGGUCCAGCUAUUCCGCGUGUGGGAUGAAGGCCCUCGGGUUGUAAACCACUUUUGUAGAGAACGCAAAGACACCUUCGAAUAAAGGGUGUUGCUGACGGUACUCUAAGAAUAAGCACCGGCUAACUACGUGCCAGCAGCCGCGGUAAUACGUAGGGUGCGAGCGUUAAUCGGAAUUACUGGGCGUAAAGGGUGCGCAGGCGGUUGAGUAAGACAAAUGGUAAAUCCCCGAGCUUAACUCGGGAAUUGCGUAUGGUG
rnacentral:rRNA from 1 species